rnacentral:misc_RNA from 1 species
AAGUCGUAACAAGGUUUCCGUAGGUGAACCUGCGGAAGGAUCAUUAACAAAUGUGAAACAGAGAGGUUGUAGCUGGCCUUUGGGCAUGUGCACACCUUUCUGAAUCCAAACUUAAACCUGUGAACCCAUGGCGGAAGGGUCUUGUGAGGCAUUUGCUGAUCAGGGCCUUUCCUGCUCACUAUACACACUUUGUAUGUUUAGAAUGUCUUUUGCGUAUUUUCGCAACAUAUACAACUUUCAGCAACGGAUCUCUUGGCUCUC